rnacentral:tRNA from 1 species
GUUUGUGGCUCAGUGGUAGAGCACUUGCUUAGCAUGUGUGAGGCACUGGGUUCAAUCCUCAGCAGCACA